UACGGAGGGUGCAAGCGUUAAUCGGAAUUACUGGGCGUAAGCGUGCGUAGGCGGUUCGUUAAGUCUGUUGUGAAAGCCCCGGGCUCAACCUGGGAAUGGCAAUGGAUACUGGCGAGCUAGAGUGUGUCAGAGGAUGGUGGAAUUCCCGGUGUAGCGGUGAAAUGCGUAGAGAUCGGGAGGAACAUCAGUGGCGAAGGCGCCAUCUGGGACAACACUGACGCUGAGGCACGAAACGCGUGGGGAGCAAACAGGG
rnacentral:rRNA from 1 species